rnacentral:rRNA from 1 species
CCCUUAGAUGUUCUGGGCCGCACACGCGCUACACUGAAGGAGGCAGCAUGUACUCCUGGAUCGAAAGAUUUGGGUAACCCGCGAAUCUCCUUCGUGCUAGGGAUUGAGGUUUGCAAUUAUCCUUCAUGAACGAGGAAUUCCCAGUAAGUGCAAGUCAUAAGCUUGCGCUGACUACGUCCCUGCCCUUUGUACACACCGCCCGUCGCUACUACCGAUUGAAUGAUUUAGUGAGGACUUCGGACUGGGACCGAUGCGGCUUUCGGGCUGCGUCGGUAUUCUGGAAAGAUGUCCAAACUGUNUNAUUUAGNGGAAGUAAAANUCGUANCA